CCAUUUGGCCUUUUCUAUUUUUUUUCGGAGAGGCAGUGCUUCUCCUCCUUAUUUUUCUCUUAUGAAUUUUUAUAGAAAAUCCCUGAUCUACGAAGAUCCAACGGUCCGAUCUCCGAUCCGACUUCGGUAACGUGAUCUACGAAGUCCGAUCUACGUUUCUACCGAUCGUUUUGAGAUUUUGGGUAGUUUGGAGUUGCUAGGACCUUCCCGAGCAUUUGGUCUUUGCUUAGCGAAUUUUUGUGACGCAUUGCAAGGUGGUGUUUAGAAGGCCUAGUGCUUAAUAUCCGCGCAGCCAAGACAUUGAUGCUUUGGUUGCAGGUUCUACAGAUAUAGAUAUUGACUCGUCCACCUAGCGUAUGGGAUGUUAUGAUUGGAGCACAUCGCGACAGUCAUAAGUUAUGGACUCAUGGGUAGUCCAUAUUUUGGGUAUUCUAUUUAUGGCUCGUGUCUUACGUGGUUUACGUAUUUGUUGAGCCUGUAAUUUGAUAUGUAAUUAUAGUAAAAUGUUUUAUAAGCCUUAAAUAGAUAGACAUGUAAAUGGCUCUUGUUGUUGAUAUUAACUGUGAUGUAUUAGAUGUAUUUCCGCUUAUGAUAUGUGUUCCGCUGCACAUUGAUAUUUA